CAAUAGCGUAUAUUAACGUUGUUGCAGUUAAAAAGCUCGUAGUUGGAUUUCUGGAGGGAGCGUCGGCCCGUAUUUACGAGUGCGUGACGUCUCUGUCCAUCCUUGCGGGAAGGCACGGCAUUGAUUUGUUGUGUCGGAUCGCAUCAUUUACUGUGAAAAAAUUAGAGUGUUCAAAGCAGGCUUUCGCUUGAAUACAUUAGCAUGGAAUAAUAAGAUAGGACUUUGGUGCUAUUUUGUUGGUUGAGCCUAAAGUAAUGAUUAAUAGGGAUAGUUGGGGGCACCUGUAUUGCGUUGUCAGAGGUGAAAUUCUUGGAUUUACGCAAGACAAACAGCUGCGAAANCGNNNGCCAGGGAUGUUUUCAUNAA
rnacentral:rRNA from 1 species